CCCUUAGAUGUUCUGGGCCGCACGCGCGCUACACUGACAGAGCCAGCGAGUUCUUUUUCCUUGGCUGAAAAGUCAUGGGUAAUCUUGUGAAACUCUGUCGUGCUGGGGAUAGAGCAUUGCAAUUAUUGCUCUUCAACGAGGAAUUCCUAGUAAGCGUAAGUCAUCAGCUUGCGUUGAUUACGUCCCUGCCCUUUGUACACACCGCCCGUCGCUCCUACCGAUUGGGUGUGCUGGUGAAAUGUUCGGAUCGGCCGUUUGUCGCGGUUUCCGCGUCAUGUGGCUGAGAAGUUCAUUAAACCCUCCCACCUAGAGGAAGGAGAAGUCGUAACA
rnacentral:rRNA from 1 species